rnacentral:lncRNA from 1 species
UAGUAGUAUAUUGUUUCCAUAAUUAUCUUUAGUAAAAUUCUAAGUUUUUAUUAAUUACUCUGACAUUUAAUGUAAUAUAAUAUAUGACUAAAGUUUAGGUCCAAAUGAAUGUUUCAGUUACUAAAGAGAGAUUUAUAUUUUCAUAAAUAACAAUUACAUUUCAUUUAAACUUAAAAAAUCUUUCAUAUUAAGUUAAAUAUUUUAUAUAAAUGAAAUAACCCAUUAAGUUAAUUAGUUCUUAUGAUUCCACGGAUUUUAUCCACUUUAGCCAUGAUAUAUAGAUGUUUUAGAAACUUCCAUUAUGUUUUGGAGUCUUUUUAACACUUUUGCAUGUUCAGGGAUGAUUUGGAAAAAAAUGAUGAUUUGGAUGCAUUUUGGAAAUAAAAAUGAGAGGAAACUCGAAGAUGGCCA